UCCAUCCUGAGAGCACAAGCAGGGUUCCCAUGGUGAUGUUCCGUGAGCUUGCUUCUGGAAGUGAAUAAUGACAUGGAAUGGAGGGGUCCGACUUUCUGCCUCAAAGCGUAUGAAGGUAUUACGUGACUGUUUCCUGCACUCAGACUGUGGAAAAGAGGGACCUUUUGGUGGACUGCAGAGCUAGAAGGGAAAGUGGAUAUUAAGGGCUCAAAGGGAAAAAUUCUCUCCUUUUCCUUCCUGUUGGCCAUGCCCUCAGCAAUCAGUACAGGGCCUAAGGAGCCUUUGAAAGGGCAUAGCAGCUACCACAAGACCAGGGAUGAGAUUCCAUGAAGAUUGAUGUAUAGUGGAGCUCCUGGGGAGGGGGAACAUCUCAGAGGAACAGCCUGUGGGAGCCAGCCCUGCAGUCUGUGGACUUGGCAGCCAAGACAGUGCGUUCUUCAAGCAAGGGAGCAAUUCCAUCCACUGACUCACUCCUAAUAGAAAAAAAGCAAGCCAGCACCUGCGACAGCGAAAAGCACUGACACCUCACACAAUGCCCGAGAAAGGACGUGUAGACAGACUGCACAUCGUCUUCCAGCUGCUGCUGCUUCCCUCCCUGCCAGUCAAUGCGCGGGGGAAGAGAGCCAGGGAUACGCCGUACCGGGAACUCUUCCUGAGGCUUCCCACAAUGCAGCGGUGCCAGGCUUAAACUCUACCCACAGGUCUGCCUCUCGCUCUAUAUACAAUAAAAAGCACCUUGUC